rnacentral:rRNA from 1 species
AACAAACGCUGGCGGCGUGCCUAAUACAUGCAAGUCGAACGGGGAAAGCUUUCGGGUGAGUACUAGUGGCGCACGGGUGAGUAACGCGUGGAUAAUCUGCCUUAGAGUGGGGGAUAACUAGUCGAAAGAUUAGCUAAUACCGCAUAAGACCACAAGAACUGCGGUUCAAGGGGUCAAAGGUUUUUCGCUCUAAGAUGAGUCCGCGUAAGAUUAGCUAGUUGGUAGGGUAACGGCCUACCAAGGCGACGAUCUUUAACUGGUCUGAGAGGAUGAUCAGUCACACUGGAACUGAGACACGGUCCAGACUCCUACGGGAGGCAGCAGUAGGGAAUAUUGCACAAUGGAGGAAACUCUGAUGCAGCGACGCCGCGUGAGUGAUGAAGGCCUUCGGGUCGUAAAGCUCUGUCGCAGGGGAAUAACACAAUGAAGGUACCCUGUAAGAAAGGAUCGGCUAACUUCGUGCCAGCAGCCGCCGCCGUAA